AAAAUGAUGACUGCCUGGGAGGAUGAAUGUGAAGAAAUUGUGAGAAUGAUUAGAGGCUAGAAAACAUCACCUACUGGGAUGAAAGAAUGAGGUCAGUUAAUCUGAAGUAGGAGGUGGAGGAGAACAAGGGAACAGUCUUUGAACACGUGAAAAAUUUUUUGAAGGGGGAGGAGAAUACAGUAUUUCCAUAGUUAUGGCAGUUGGGGCAAGAGGUAGUGGUUUUGAGUUUACUGGAAGUACAGCAGGGAUGAUUAAAAAUUAGACAUUGGGAAAAUAUUUCUAAAAUAACACGGGACUGGAAUAGAUUUCAGGGUGGCAAUGUUGGUGAUGCUUCACCACUGGAAUUGUUUAGGACAGGUUAUCCAAAUCUGUCCUGGAAAAGACAGAGAUACAAGGUGAUUCUGUUGUGGGACAAAAUCAUUCUGAGACUCCAUUUUCUUCCUAUCCUAUGUUGUUCUGGUUUAGUGUUUUAAAAUUCAAAACCUUUUAUGAACUGCUUUUCCUUCUGUGCUCUACUUUGUGUUCUCUUUGAUGUGAUUCUUUUUCUUAAUAGUGCUGCUGAUACCUUUUUGCUCAUUGGUUUUACCCAAUUCAAAAUCUCAGAAAUUGUUUGCACAACACUGUUAUUGCUAGUCUGCAAAAACAAUCUGGUACUGGAUGCAAUAAUCACUGAGAAGCAAAAUUACUUUGAUGAAAAGCUCAGCAAGUAGUUAAGGAAUUAGGAAUACCUUUCAGUGUUUGUUUUCUGAGUACCCCUUGGCUUUUUUAGGAUGCUACCCUUCACGUAUUUUUUUUCUUCAUCUCUUCUACCUACUCCUGUUGUAUUAUGUUCUACCUAUUCCUGUUGUAUUACGUUGUAUUAUGUUCUGCAAACGCCUUAGCAACGCCUUUCUUGUUUCCUUUCUGGAAGCACGUUCCUUCCCUCAGUGUUGCCCAGGCUAAGAAACAGAGGAACCCAUCUACUCUACCUGUCUCUCUUAUUAGGAGUAGGCAGAGCAGUUAGUCAACAUGUUUCUGUCUUCUGUGGGUGAGUACUGGGCUUUCCACAGGCUUCCUGUCAUGAGAUAGUAUGGUGGACCAUCUGUAGUUCAUUCCAUCAACAUAACCUGGAAGUUUUGCCUAAAAAAAUGUCUUCCAAAUGUGUUCAGCCAUUUGGUUCUGCUUAUGAAAAAAGUUUUCAGCUGUGAGAUUCAAGGAAUUUGUGUUAGAGCCACCUGUUUAAAGCAGACUAUCAAAAAGCCAUAGGGGAGGGUGUCUCACCACUCAGAUGGGAUGUUUCCAAUUAAAGGAUGAAAUACGAGUGGGACUGCCCAUGAACAGAAAGCACAGGCUGUCUGUACCCUGCAACAGGCACCAAAAAUGCGGCCACGCUUCAACCACUGCAGCUAUCUGCCUAGACGGCUUGUGCAGGUGUUGUAGAGAGUGAGUGAGAAGAUCUGAGAUGUUGGCAUCUCUGUUCACCUUGGCAGCCCUGGGGAUGGGCGACUGCAGCUGCAUCUCUGUGCUGAUGAAGACUGUAGAAGACAAAAUAAGUCUGCUGACGGACAGGGUAGGACCAGUUGGGCAUAGUAUAGCCAGAAGCAAUUUUUGAACUGCUGAAGGCCAUGAAAAAUCUCACCUUUCUCCUGAUUGUUAAUAUCACUGAAGUUGCCUGGUCACCGGUAAAUCCCUCCGAGGCCAUUGCAGGGACCUUUGCCCUUUGUUUUGGAGUGUCUGGUCAGACUUGUCACCGUUGUCCUGGUAAGGCAGCUUUUUGUAAAGGUGCAUGUGUGCCGGAAAGGGCUUUUAUGCUCUGCUUGGUCCAUUUGCACAGCUACACAGCAGGCAAGCCCACAAAAGAUUCAGCAGAGUGGCUCUGAAUGGAGAAAGGGCUCUGACGUCAAUGUGUGGUUGCAUCUGUUUAGUCUUCAUGCUGCAGUGAUAGCUUUCGUCAGGGAGUGUAAACCAGCUCAGCAGAUGCUGUUGUCUUGGAGAGAACAUUAACAUUGAUGCCUUCCUUAUUGCUACUUUUGAUCAAUGAUUUCAGCAAUAAAGGAGUAAUCAGUUCUUAGAUAUUAAGAUUCUGCUGUAGAGAGAAGUAUGAAAGAUAGAUAACAGACCUUGCUGGACAGUGACCUUUAGUUUCCUUAAUAAAUGCAAAUCAAUGGCAUUCCUUAUCCAAAGGCAAACUAACAGAUUGGUACCAAAGGAAAGGACUCAUAUCCUUGCACCCCUGGGCAUGCAGAAAACAGGUUGCAGAGAAAACAUGAGCACCCAGAUUGCUGCUGGUGGGAACUGGGAACCAUGGUGUGGGGCCAGGAUGAGGUGAGCAUAUUGUUUAUUCUGGCAAGAUGGGAGCACAGAGGCCAAAUUAGUUUAAUCUCUUGUGGAAAGAGGAGAAUUUUUGAGCACCUCUUUUCCAUGAGUUGGCUCUUCUGACUGUUUCUGUCUCUGGGAAGGAGGGUGUGAGGAGGAUGGCUGUCAGAGGUAGCAGAGAUUAAAUUACAGCAACUUGGGCUAGGGAAGUAGCAUUUGAUGUUAAUUCUGAGACUGAAAUUCUUACAGAGAUCACAGCUGGCAUCAAAAUGUCUGAGCUUGGGGAAAUGAGAAUUAUUUCUGUAUUGCUUAGCUCUUAGUGACAGGGAGUUUACUUUCUUACAUCCUAAAAAUAGAAAAGACCCCCCCUGCCUCCACUUCGAAUAACAUCAUUUUAGCAUAACAUUUCCCUCCACACAACCCUAUUUCUCAAUGAACAGGUCUUCUUUUAUAGAUGGUAUUUUAAGUUUACCAUAAAAGCAGCAAGUCAAGGCAUUUUCUGCUCUGGCAUUCAUUAUUCAAUAUGAUUUAAAUUGCUUGAGAAACCACUCUGUGAGCUCCAUAGCACUGAAGCCUCCUGCUUCUUUCUCACUUUUUUUUUUUUUUUUUUUUUUUAAGAGGGGAAUUACCCCAGGUCAUUCAUGUGUUAUAACAAGAUGUUCAUUCAAUGAUUUCAGGCAAGCAAGUGUCCCUAUUCUGUGCUUUUGCUUUGAUUAGCACCCAUUACAAUACUUCUGUGCAUGAAUGCAUUAUAUCUUUCUCUAGCCCUUGGGAGUCUAAUACUGUUCUGACAGAGCUGUAAGAAAGAAAUGGACCUUUUCUUUCAGCGUGUGCAUUGAACUAGAUGGCAGUGAUUUAUAGCAUGCCUUAGAAAAAGCCAGAAGUCGGGGAACUCUGUGCAUGGCAUUCAUAAAACCACUGGACUGGCACUUUGCAAUGCUGCCUUCUGGGUGAUCCAUUGCAAUUCCAGGUGUAAUCCCUCCUGCUACUGAUACCAUCCUGUGAGGUUUAACCAGAUCUGUUCCUAUGCAAGGCUUGCUUCUGUAUGUGUUAGAAAGGAACCAGGUGUCAGGGUUAAGAUUUCAAUCUCAAGAGAGAAGGGGGCUGGUGGAGGGUUUGGGGCUCAGCCUGUGCUGUAAGGCAGAGCUCUGUGGCAAGCAGCAGGACACUACUGGGAUCCCAAAGGGAUGGGGAGGGACUGCAUGUGUGUGUGUGUGGAUGUGUGGGAAACAGGCACAGACAGUGAUUUUGUAUGGGAACUGAUGCAUAUUCAGAACUUGCUGUACAUUGACCUUGAGAUGUGCAUAAGACUCUGGAGGCUUUUUCUUCAGAAGAGAUAACACAGACAAGGAAAGGAACAGUGUGCUUUCUGUAUAAAUAUCAUUGCAUUCACACAGAUGAAUGGGUGAGAUGUGCUCAAACCUCUGCAGCAACAUCUGCCAGCUUAAUCCACAAUAAAUGAUACAGAGCUUGUUUCACCUUGUUAGUGGCCUUUAGCUUCUCCUGUUUAAGUUCCUAUAUCUUACGUGUUUCUGUAUUAAAUUUGGUGCUGUAUUUUGCAACUGUGUUGUUGGCCUGUUCAAUACAUUUUUCUUGAUCACUAGAACAGUGCUUUAGACUUAAAUAUCUGCACUGAAGUAAUGCAAGAUAUAUAUUGAGUCGAUGGCUGCUAAAUAAUUGAGGCUGCAGUUCCCUUCACAGUAAGCGUGAGUUAUUCCAAAUUCUGCAAGACUGUCUGUAUGCUGGGCUUCAAGCUGAACUUAGUGCAGGGUGUGUUUGAUAGACAAUAAUAGUAUUAGAUAAAUUAAAUGCUAGCAAUAGGCUGUCAGCUUAAUUAUAGAAGCUGGCUAGUCUUAAAAGAAAUGGCGAAUUAUUCUGGAGAGAAGUGUCUGUGUGAUAACCUUUCCUAACUUCUUGCGGUUCUUGAAGUCAGUAUUGCAAGGCAGGAAAAUGCUUGUGGCAGAGCCCUGCUCAGAUGCUUGAUUUAUAUGUUCCUAUUAGCAUUUUCUGUUUUGACAUGUGGAACAACCAUUGACUGGAGUCAGGGGAUUUGCUCCACAACUGCUGUGCCGUAGGUCUCUGGCAGGGUACUUGGAGAUGCUCUGCUGUUUGGUUUACCUGCUUGUUAAAUUCCUCUUUUCUUUUUAUCAAUCAAUCCAUAUCAGAUUCUCUGUGUGUGACCAUGGGACUUAAGUGGAAAAGAAGUAAGACUUCCAUGAAUCUUCCUGGAGAUGGACUGUGCGCUCUGUGGGUACUUGAAAAAUACACCCGUUCAGAAGUGAGCAAGCAGCUGUUUCAUGGACCUGUGCCCUGGGAUUUACCAGCUCCUACAUUCAGUUGCAUCCCACUUAAAUCCUCUGUCUACUUCUGCACAGUCCCCUCCCUUUGCUUCAAGGACCUGAGAUGGAAAUCAGUUUUCUGGCAGCAAUAACUAGGCUCUGCAGUGAAGGCCAUCAACAGCACUGAGUUUACCAAUAUGACUGCUCAUAGAAGCAUGUUACACAAGUCUGUAUAUUCUAAAGCAAUUAUUAUUGCUCUAUUUUUAAAUGUUUCUUGCAUAAGGUCAUCUAUUGCAUUUCAAGAUUUCAGUUAAAGCAGUAGCCAAGAGUCACAAAACCUGACUGGAACAAGGUGCUGCAUCCUGGGAGGUGGGAAAGGCACUGGAGGCUCUUUCAGGGGAAGAUCUACCAAGUCCGCUCAGGGAGGGACCUUGUGCUGGAUACACAGCUACGUGAUCAGGGUUUUUUUUUCUCUGCUAAACUUUCCUGACAAACUUUUAUUCACUGACACUGAGCUGUUUUGGGCUUUCCCAAACAGCUUUGAAUGAGACCUGUCUUUGCCUCUUCUUGCACAUUAACAUGAAAACAUUGGGUUCCUGUGGCACUGGAUUUCUCCCUCCUUCACUAAUGUUAGUUACUGUGGGAACUACUAAUGGGAGAAAAAUCAGUGCUUUCCCCAAAUACAAUAAGUAAUUUCAAAUGUAACAUUCACGUUAUGCAUUGAACAUCUAGGCUCCUGAAGCAUGGGUAUGUGAGUAUUGUUGUGUGAACAGCUUGUAAGCGAUAUGUAUGUGGAGUGUUGCUCUUGCCUUCAGUAUAUCUGGCUGGCAUAAUAAAAAAAACUGUUCUAAAACUUUUGUUUCCACAUGCUGGGUGCCAUAUACUAGAGGGGGUUGUAUAUAAAAAAAUCACAUUUUACCUCAGAUUCAAUACUUGCAAAAUGCAUACAUAAUUUAAUUAGCCAUGGCUGGCAUUUUUAGGCUACACUAACAAACGCAACUAAAUUUCAAAGAGAUUUGGGCAACCGAAUAGCAGUCUUUUAAGAAAGUUUCUCCCACCAUAAAAAAAAAUAUCUUUGAACAGAAAACAGCCCACUACUAUCCAUCCAUCCUCCCGAGUAUUUUCAGACCUUAUUCAAUUAGUUGUUUUGAUCUGAAGCAAGGCAAGAGACAGAUUCCCAACACAUCUCUUCAGUGUGGUGUCAAGUGCUUCUAUGUGGAGGACACUCACUGAAUGGCAUCAGGCAAUGUGAAUUAUAUAUAGUUUUUUUUUCUAUUAAAAAAAUAGAAGUUGCAGAUGUUUGAAAGAGAUUUCAAGAAUGAAAUUUCCAGUUUUGAUUGGUGCAUAAGAUUUUCUUCCUAGGUGGUGGUUUCACUGUAGAGGGCAAGUUAAAUAGUAAAGAAAUUACGUGAAUGAGUUUUCAGAACAGCCCACCAUGGAGGUUUUGGUGUUUGUCUGGGACUGGCAGUAACUCUCCUAAGGACUUGUGGCUUCCAGGUGGCCACUGGCUGGGUCAGCCUGUGUGAUAUGCUGGAGUGGACAUGGCUCUGAAGUUGGCCGCCUACAGAUCUGCAUCAUGCAGCCAUGAAGCAAGGCUGAGUCCCACCCUCUGUCCUUGGUGCCAGUUUUUUCAGGUUCAGGCACUGAUUUUUGAAAUAAGGUACAUGUUUAGUGUGUGCAGAGGUGAGUUGAGGAGAAAAAAAAAAGGACAUAUCUUGAAGUUCAUCCUUCAACUCUCCUUUGGAAUGCCUUAGAUAUGGUUUUCUGAUCUAAAAUCAGCAAAAGCUACUUACAUGGCUAAAAAAAAUAUACCCCCAACAUCUCUCAGAAAACACACACACCAGAGAAAGGAGGGUGGAGUGAAGGAAUUUGUACAAAAAGCUUUCCCCUCUACCCCUACAAUACCUGUACUAAAAAUUGUGAUUUGGAGCUUUGUUCUUUUCCAGCCAAGCAGAAAUUUUAUGUAAGCUUUAUCUGGGAAGUCCUGUUUCAGUUCCACAUAGAAUUUUUUUUCCAGCUGACCUUUCCCAAGUUGGCAUUUAUGUUUUUGCAGGCGUUUUAUAUGUCCUUGAAUGCCUCACCUUUAUCCUAUCUCCUGUCAUUUGCAUCACAUGGAGAUGGUUAAGCCAACAUGGAGAGCUUGUUUCAGACUAACCAGGAAGGAGAAGUUGGAAGUCACACAAAAAGCUGUUACUCAGUUUGUUGCUUGGUGAAGACAAGGCCCCACAAGCCAGACUGUGUGAGGAAUGAUGACUGAUCAAGCUACAGCAGAGAGCAGUGCAGCCUGGAAGCCUGAGCUCUUCACCACAGGGAGCAGGAGGCUGGAGGAGCCCAGGGAUCUCCUGGGCAGGUGAAAGAUACCACUGCUCUGCCUCUGGCACGGUGAAUAUCCAACUGCUCCCUGAAAAACACAGCAAAAGGUAUAGUUAGAGUCUUGUCCUCCUAGAAAUCCCUGCAGUAACAGUUGUCUUCUGGGAUGUAAAAGUCAUGGGUUUGACUGUCCUCGUGUGAGGGAAGGAAUCUAAGCUUUGCUGAAACCACCUAUCUACAGGAUCAAAGCAAAGAGGCUGCAGUUUGAAAGGAGAGGAACUGUCAGUGGUCUGUUAAGGAAACAUGGAGCAAAGGUUUGAGAAGUUGGUGUGACCUAAGCAGAAAGAAAUUUGAAGGCCAGGAGAAGGACAGGGUUUCCAGGCAGAAAACACCGUUCUCGAACUGCCUGCUUUUUCAGGGGUCCCUGGCAGCUGAGACUGCAAUGUUACCGCCGUGAGCGGGUUCACUGAUGCAAGAUGAAGUGUCCUCCUCAGCUAUACCCUGGGGUUUACAUAGGGUUUCUCAGUGUUUUGGAGACUGCAAUGAGAUUCAGACCUUUAGGCAUAAAAACCUGCUCCAUUCAUGCGGAGUGAGUGUAGUCCAGAUGCUGUAUCUCAUUUUUUACUAAUAAAAAGAAAUCUGACUUUUAUGAUAGCUAACUCAAGUCACCCUUACAUUAUACAUAAGCAGUUCCCCUUCUCCAGUCCUUUGGUGAGUGUUUCCAACUGCAGUUCAGCAUCAGGAAUUUUCACAUCCAAAGAAAGUAAUUUUCAUGCACUAAACUCUUGAAUAAAUAUUUAAUCUGCCCCUUCUAUAGUAGGAAGAGAAAAGAUGCUCUUGGUGGGAGUUUUGCUAGUGCAGGUGAGAACAGAGUGUGUUCUGAGGCAAAAGUACUUUUAUGACCUCAGCUUUGCCCAAAUGUAGCUGGUUUGAAGUGCUCUUUUAAAAGAACUACUUUGUGUGUUUUGUUGCUUUUGCUUAAUUGCACCUAAUGCAGAAACUUUCUGUUGCUUGCCUCUGUUAUUGAUAUAGAGCUUCACUAAGGUUUUCUAAAUGUGUUGUCUUUCAUUUUUUACAUAAUAAGAAUUAAUUCUGAUUGAAUACUUUGCUUCACUGAACUGCAGAUAAGAUGAAUGAGGAACUGCUGGCUAAGAAAGGGCUUUCACAAUGUGCUUUAGACCUCUAUGUCCCUAAGCACUUGAUCUAUUGAUGUUUUUUGUAAUGCUGUUAUCCUGCUGAUCUAGUUGCAGGAUUUUGCCUCAUGCAGCAGAGUGCCUGCAGAAAAAAAAAUGUGGAUGGAGUAGUGGUGACCCAGUUCUUCUCACAUGUGUGCACAUGGCAGGGGCUAUACUGAGUCUGAACCCGCUGUGCAACCUGUGUGGAAAAUUACAUGACCGGCACAAAUAUAAAAUGCAGUUGAUAUCUACCACAAUGCCUUCAACAAGUUUUCACAGCUGGCAUUUGCCUAUACAGCUGUAGCACCCCAGGCUUCUGUCAGUGCUGAAGUUCAGUCUGCCAGGUGCUGGGCAGUGGAUGCCAAAUUGUUUAUAGCCAAAUGAAACCAAGAUACUGUGAAUGGACAGAGCAAACUACUGGAAAGAAAGGAGGAGCAUGAAUGGAAAAAGUAGCCAUGGGAACAAAUGUAUGCCUGCUGGCCAGAAGCAAAGGUAACUAAGUGGUUUUGAAUGAUCUGUAGUAACCUGCAUACAAAUAUUACUUCUCUAACUUGCUUUAUUCGCUUUCUCUCUGGAUGUUAGCAUGUGGCACGUUGGAUGGACACUCAAGUGGAAUUUUGUAUAAAAGGAUGUAGAGGGAGUUAAAUAUUAUAAUUUGGUUGCCCCUGGGAGACUUUGCAUGUCUGUUUUCACAAAUACUUAUCGAGAGAAGAGUGUUUUCCAAGUGGAGAGAAUUUGGUUGAAGCAGAGUUCUUGCGCUGUCAACAUUGUGGGGUUUUGAGCAGCCGCUGUUGGUUGUAUUUAAGACUGGAAGGAGGGGAGAGGAGCAGUGUUAGCUCUGGACUGGGAACUGCUGAGAAAAGCAAUGAUUUCUAAAUCUUUUUCUAAAAUGUGAUGUCUUUGCAUUAGAGACACUAACUCUUUCUGAAACGUCUCUGUGCCUUUUUUCCCUUUUAUAAUACUAACCCAUUUCUGAGACACUGGGUACGGCCCCUUCUCUCUCUCUCUCCCGUGAUAUUUGUCAGUGCUUUCACAGCCUUUGGCAGCUUCCCAGCCAGAGCAGAUUCCCUGCCAACAGAGUCUCCUCAUGGCUCGUUUUGUAAAGGGCUGAUUGCAUUGAUGGAUGAUAAGGCUAAGGACUGAACAAGCAAAAUUUUUUUUUAAUUUUUUUUUUUAAGGAAAAAAAACCCCUCUCCCUUGCUUCUGAAAGACACAUUGUAAAUAGAGUCAGUCCAAACCUUGCAAGUUUUUCUCAUGAGGAAGCCUGUCAGAAGUGAAAGCUCUUCCUGUGGUGCUUUGUGUGUGAUACUGGGGGUGGAAGGUGGAAAGAUUAAAGCAGAAAAGGUUAAGAAAUGAAAAGAAAAGCAAAUUAAAACCUCAGGCCAAGAAAGAAAAUGUAGUGAGUAGAGAGAAGAGGAAAAUGAUCAGUGAAGGCAGAAGACCGGAACAAAGGAGGAAAGAAGCCAGAAAUGAGAUAUGGAGCAAGAGAAAUAAAAAUGGGCUGAUAGUGGAAGAGACGCUGAAGUGCUGGAGGAAAGCAAGGCUGGUAGAUAUGGGACAUAUGCACCCCUGUGUGCCCACUUAGUAGAGGAAGAGGGAAGAACUGAAACAAGAUUGAAAAAAAUCAUCAGAAAAGAUAACAAAUCUUAAAAUUAGGCAAUAAAAGAGUCAAUCCAAUAUGAAAUGAAACAUCAGAUGACACAUCAAAAAAACUAGCAAAGGACUAACUCCCUUCUUCCUACAUCUGCCACCCCUGAAAAAUUUGCUUACAGCAAUAACUCAUGGAUAUCUCCACAGCACCUGUCUUUCCCUGCCAAAUUUUCCAUGAGUUCCUGCAAGAUGGUUUGAUGCUCCUCAUUACUACUAGGACUGGCUGGACAGCAACCGUUAGUUUCAAGGCUACUUUUGAAACCUGUUUUCGCACUGGAUUGAUCUGGAAACAAAAUGUUUUGACUGUAUUUGAAAAUACAUAGUUGUCCUAAUUGCAUCUGUGUUGAUGUCAAAAUUCCAGCUCUUGGAUAUAAGAGUGUUAUUUAUCCAGUCAGGGAUGAAGGGCACUCAGGUAGACUUAUUCUAGAGAACCUGCACUGUUUGCUAUUUGCAGACCUCCCUUCUCUCAGCUCUAGAACAGAGCUGGUACCUCUCAACAUUGAAUUUAAUAUUGAUGUUUAGCUCUGUGCAGAUAUCUGGUUGAGCCUGAAAGGCCACAAUUAUAUCCAUCCUGCAAAGAUUUGCCUCAGUGCUCACAAUUAUUGCAGACAAAGAAGGAAAUACACAUUUUGAAUCAGUCAGCAACUAGUUAAGCUUUGCUUACCUUAUACAGUUAUGUUAUUAACUAUUCACAUCUUAAGAAUGCCAGUGCAGUGUGAACAUCUCCUGUGGACUGUUAUUCACAUCCACUGGCUGUAUAGGAUAGAAACAUAAAAUGGCUUGUUCCCUCAGUGUACAAAUGAUCUUUCAGCAGCAUCAGUAUGUCACCUCAUUUCCUUGUUCAUUCCAACAAAACCACCCAUAUGACUGCGAUUACUCAGGAGCCUGCAAAUGGUAACUUAAAGGAAAGGCCUCUAUAGAUAUCUAGGCAGGAGCAAAUCUAUCCUGUGUGCUUGUGUAAUGCUCCCUUGUGUCCUAGUCUAGACCAGCUCAUUACAAGCACUGCAUUCACAGUUCCUUUUCCAGAAGCAAUGUACAGCAUAUUAAUGGUUAUUUUGUUAACUUUGUAUUUUGUUUUGUUUUUUUCUUCUGUCCCGGUGGAUGAGGACUGCAGGACUAUCAUUAAUUCAGGGUAAUUUAAAAUACUAAUCAAGGUAAUUCUGCCUUCUGGAUGCCCUUCUCCUCUACAUCUGUAGCUCUUUGCGGUGUUCCCACCCUAUUCACAUUUACCGCAAUAGCACAGACAAGAGCUCUCUAAAAAAUGAUACAUAAAGGCUCCUCUAUUUCACAGUAAGUUUUCUCCCUUUCUCUGAUACUGCUUGU